CUCUUCACCGUUUGGUCCAAUUAGUUUCACCCUGUAUACAUUUGCCAUCGCAGAAACUCUGAAGGAGGAAGACUUCAAGCCAAAUGCUUUAGAUACAUUCUUUACAGAACCCAAAGAACAUGAACUCUUGAUCAAGGCACAAGAUCUGCUUGGGCUUGUAACUUUGCUAGGGGGUGAACUUCUGAUAAAGCAUGAUGUGGGAAGUCUCACAGUGGACAUGUUU
rnacentral:misc_RNA from 1 species